rnacentral:precursor_RNA from 15 species
CCCAACCACCUGGCCGAGGGCACUCAAGCUAUAAGGUAGAGAAAAUAAUGUCUUCGUCUCCAAAUAGACAUCAAUUUCCCUAGCUUGCAUUUUGCCUGCCCCCAAGCAACAAUGAUAACA